rnacentral:rRNA from 1 species
GAAAGUAUUCAAGGGCGCACGGCGGAUGCCUAGGCUCUUACAGGCGAUGAAGGACGUGAUAAGCUGCGACAAGCCGCGGUGAGGCGCAAAUGGCCAUUGACCCGCGGGUUUCCGAAUGGGGCAACCCAACGUUUUGAAGAAACGUUAUCCCGCGGAUGCGGGAGGCGAACGCGGGGAACUGAAACAUCUUAGUACCCGCAGGAGAAGAAAAUAAAGAAUGAUUCCCCCAGUAGUGGCGAGCGACCGGGGAAUAGCCCAAACCGGCGUUGUCCAGGCAUCGCCGGGGUUGUAGGACCGCGAUGUCGCAAGAGUGAUGGCGAGUGGAAGGAACUGGAAAGUUCCGCCAUAGAGGGUGACAGCCCCUUACACGAAGCCAUGCGAAGCGUAGCGGAAUCCUGAGUAGCGCGGGACACGUGUAAUCCUGUGUGAAUCAGCCGGGCCCAUCCGGCAAGGCUAAAUACUCGUAAGAGACCGAUAGUGAACCAGUACCGUGAGGGAAAGGUGAAAAGCACCCCUGUUAGGGGAGUGAAAAAGACCCUGAAACCGUGCGCCUACAAGCGGUCGGAGCGCCCAUUGGGCGUGACGGCGUGCCUUUUGCAUAAUGAACCUACGAGUUGCCGUCACCGGCAAGGCCAAGGGGCAUGAGCCCCGCAGCCGCAGCGGAAGCGAGUCUUAAAAGGGCGCUGUAGUCGGUGGUGGCAGACGCGAAACCGAGUGAUCUACACUUGUCCAGGAUGAAGUCCCGGUAACACGGGAUGGAGGUCCGCACCAAUAAGCGUUGAAAAGCUUCUGGAUGAGGUGAGUGUAGGAGUGAAAGGCCAAUCAAACUCGGAGAUAGCUCGUACUCCCCGAAAGGCAUUUAGGUGCCGCCUGUGGAGUUCCCGGCGCGAGGUAGAGCGACUGAUAGGAUGCGAGGGCUUCACCGCCUGUCAAGUCCUGACAAACUCCGAAUGCGCGCCGGCCAAUCCAUGGAGUAAGGGCACGGGUGCUAAGGUCCGUGCCCGAGAGGAGAAGAAUCCAGACCACCGGCCAAGGUCCCGAAAUGCUGGUUAAGUUAGACUAACGCAGUCCGUCCCCCCAGACAGCUAGGAUGUUGGCUUGGAAGCAGCCAUUCAUUCAAAGAGUGCGUAACAGCUCACUAGUCGAGGGGAUGGGCGUGGAUAAUAAUCGGGUAUGAAACCAGUUACCGAAGCCGUGGGAUAUGAGAAUAUCGGUAGGGGAGCAUUCCAUCCUGCGUCGAAGGCGCCGCGCGAGCGGCUCUGGAGCGGAUGGAAAAGCAAAUGUAGGUAUAAGUAACGAUAAGGAGGGUGCGAUCCCCUCCCGCCGAAAGACCAAGGUUUCCUGAACAACGCCAAUCGGUUCAGGGUGAGUCGGUCCCUAAGCAUAAGCCUAAGGGCGAGGGCGAUGGAUCAAACGGUUAAUAUUCCGUUACUGUCUUGGUGUGUGACGCGGCGACGGAGAAGUGACACGGCCGCCCCCUGACGGAAAAGGGGGUUUAAGCGCAAAGGUUACGAGGGAGGCAGGCAAGCCCACCUCCCGAGCCGAAGCGCGAAAGUACGCGGCGCCCUUCUGGGCAACGCGACAGCGCCGGUAACCAUGCUCCCGAGAAAACCCGCUAAACUCCAGCACCAAGUCAUCCGUACCGUAAACGGACACACGUGGUCGGGUAGAACAUACUAAGGCGCUUGGGAGAUUCACGGUUAAGGAACUAGGCAAAUUGACCCCGUACCUUCGGAACAAGGGGUCCUCGUGUAAACGAGGCGCAGAGAAUAGGUCCAGGCAACUGUUUAACAAAAACACAGGGCUGUGCAAAUUCGAAAGAAGCCGUAUACAGCCUGACACCUGCCCGGUGCCGGAAGGUUAAGAGGAGGGCUCAUACUUAUGUAGAAGGCCCGAAUUGAAGCCCCGGUAAACGGCGGCCGUAACUAUAACGGUCCUAAGGUAGCGAAAUUCCUUGUCGGGUAAGUUCCG